UGAAGAGACACAAACUUCCACAUUCAACACAGUUCAAACAUUAACUCUGAUCAUCAUGGACUAUUGUGGACUUUCUCUACUUGUUGUCUCACUUCUAACAGGCGUCCAAUCUGAUCUUCUGGUCCCAGUAAAGAAUGAAGAGUUCAGCCUAGAAAGCAGCUCUGUAACUCUGUCCUAUAAUUUAUCUAGAGAAGUUCUCAGCAAUGACUAUUUCUUCUGGUACCACCAGUAUCCAGGAGAACCUCCAGAGCUCCUGGUCUCUCACUCUCCUUCAGGAGUUGAAGGAAUUAAAAAUGUUCCUGAACUGAAGAUUGAAGUGAGCAAAACCCAGAUGGACCUGCUGAUCUCCUCUGCUGCAGUGACAGACUCUGCUGUGUACUACUGUGCUGUGAAGCCCACAGUGACAGGAAACACCAGAACUCUGUACAAGAACCUGCAAUACUCCACAACAUCCACUAGAGGGCCUCACACACUGUUCCUCCUCUAUGGUUUGUUAGGAUUCAGUCUGAUUGUUUGUGCAGCUGAGAAUAAAGCAGACAUCAGAGUGUUUGCUGCAUCAUUGAACUCUAUGAUGAGAAGGUUUGGAUCAUAAAGGAGGGAUGAUGGAGGCUCCAGGAUGG